AGAAACUGUGAAAUUUUGGAAACCAACGAGCGAGAUGCUGUCAAAGAACUAGGAUGCUUAGAGCGUGAGGUUCGUGAUGUUGUCAUUGCUUUGAAGACUAAGCAGGCCAUCCGGACUGUGAUUACCAAAGCUCUGGAAAACCUCACCUUCCUUUCGUCAAGAGGGCUUAUUGAUGAAGAUGGGUGCACUGAAAUGAAUAAGGUACUUCUUACAAAAUUAAAAGCACUGAAUAACUUUCCAAAGGCAAUCCCACCCCCCACUCCUGAUAAAUGCCUCCAUAACUUCAUUUGGCUGGAAAAUAAAGAUGUUUUCAUUGACUUC